rnacentral:ncRNA from 1 species
CAAAGGUUUGGUCCUAGCCUUUCUGUUAAUUAUAAUUAGACCUACACAUGUAAGUUUCCGCUGCCCGGUGAGAAUGCCCUUAAGAUUAUCCCAAUAAUUAUCUAGGAGCAGGUAUCAGGCUCACCACUGGUAGCCCACUACACCUUGCUUAACCACACCCCCACGGGUUGCAGCAGUGACUAAAAUUAAGCAAUAAACGAAAGUUUGACUAAAUCAUAAUUAAUUUAGGGUUGGUAAAUUUCGUGCCAGCCACCGCGGUCAUACGAUUAACCCAGAUAAACAGAAACCCGGCGUAAAGAGUGUUUAAGCAAUCCUUACAAUAAGGCUAAAAUAAAACUAAACUGUAAUACGCUAUAGUUAACGUUAAAACAGAACACUAAAGUAGCCUUAAUCUAGCUGAAUACACUAUAGCUAAGACACAAACUGGGAUUAGAUACCCCACUAUGCUUAGCCAUAAACUUAAAUGUUCCACAAACAAGAUCAUUCGCCAGAGAACUACUAGCAACUGCUUGAAACUCAAAGGACUUGGCGGUGCCUUAAGCCCAUCUAGAGGAGCCUGUUCUAUAAUCGAUAAUCCCCGAUAAACCUUACCCCCUCUUGCCAAUACAGCCUGUAUACCGCCAUCGUCAGCUCACCUCACUAGAGUGCCAAAGUAAGCAAGAUUAUCUUCCAUAAAAACGUUAGGUCAAGGUGUAGCAUAUGAGAGGGAAAGAAAUGGGCUACAUUUUCUAUUCUAGAAUAUUAACGAAUUGUCUCUUGAAACCAGAGAUAUGAAGGAGGAUUUAGCAGUAAAUUAAAAACAGAGAGCUUAAUUGAAUCAGGCAAUAAGGCGCGCACACACCGCCCGUCACCCUCCUCAAUUCAACCCAGAUCAUAACUAAUAAAACUUCUACACAAAAGAGGAGAAAAGUCGUAACAUGGUAAGUGUACUGGAAAGUGUACUUGGAUUAU